rnacentral:lncRNA from 1 species
CUCAUUCUACCAUUGUCACAUCACUCAUUUACCUGGAGACAUGACUGACAGAUAAUAGUCAAAGUGACAUCCCUCAGCAGGUUCGUUGAAUGUGAUGGGUGAGGAGGAAAGAACUUGCAGGUCGAGGAAGGUGAGGGUAAAAUGAGGCAGUUCUAGAUUUCGCCUCAGAUGAAAUGAUGAGGAUACAAAGCUUCCGUCAGACCCCACCCCUACCUGACAGCCCUGCGGGAGAAAGGAGCUGUCCUGAGACGCUGGCUCACAGGGCCCCAUUGUCCUCUUCUUCACUAUAGAGGAUGCAAUUGAAGUUUCCAAGCUUCUGAGGAUAAACAUAAAAAUAUAAGGCUUUGAGGACUCCAAGCCCUGAAAGCUGGAAGCCUGUUUGGAAUCUUGUGCUCCUUCCCUAUCUCUGCCACCAAGACUGUAUGGAUAUCAUCAUCAAACCCUGAUCAAGGGAAUGAGACCAAGGAGGUUGAAAAUUCUAUAAUGCAAUAGAUCUUUUUAGCUUUGAUACGUGCAUUUGACUACACUUCAGUGCUAGAGCUACAAUAUUUGCCGUAGUUACAAAGCAUGCAUUUUUAUUACAUUCCACUCAGGAAAGACAAUGAUCACAAAAAUUGAUAUUUAAGACAUUUCAUUCAUUUAAGGUAUUUCAUUCAUACUUAUUACCAAUCUCU